UACGUAGGGUGCGAGCGUUGUCCGGAAUUAUUGGGCGUAAAGGGCUCGUAGGCGGUUUGUCGCGUCGGGUGUGAAAACCCAGGGCUUAACUCUGAGCUUGCUUUCGAUACGGGCAGACUAGAGGUAUGCAGGGGAGAACGGAAUUCCUGGUGUAGCGGUGAAAUGCGCAGAUAUCAGGAGGAACACCGGUGGCGAAGGCGGUUCUCUGGGCAGUACCUGACGCUGAGGAGCGAAAGUGUGGGGAGCGAACAGG
rnacentral:rRNA from 1 species